UCCUCUGGAUUGGCUGUCUCGGCUGCUUCCUCUGGCGGGGGUGGGAUUUCCGGUCUGUGGAGCAGGUGACUUCCACUUGCCGGAAAGACCCGGGCUGGCUAGCGUUUUUAAGGCGCGGAGUGGGUUUUGUUUGUGAAUGACUGCUUCGGUCGGCGGAGACGGACCUGUGAAACGAAGUGAGCUUCAAGCUACAUUCCUCAGGCUUGAGCCGGAGACCUGAGAGUGAAAAAUGUAGGAGUGAAGGAAAAAGAAACCUGAGAUAGUUUCUCAGGCUUUCCUCUGCCGGCUCGCCGAUUGAUCCUGCUUCCUGGGCAAAGUCUUCUAGUCUAGCAUUAAGGAGACGAGAUGACUCCAUCCAGUCUGAACAUCCAGCUCCCAAGACUACCCUCCACUCAUCCAUCACACGAUUUACAUUUGUCCUUUGGAUAACCAUGUUAACCUUCUACGUUCCAUUCAUAUUCUGAUAUCUCUUUGUCCUCUUAUGUGCCGUGGUGUAAUUAUAUGCCUUAUAUUAAUAAUUGCUUUUAACUUUUUUCUUUUUGCAGUACAGUAGCUAUACAUACAGUGGCAGCACAUCACUAUGCAAAUGAUCAUGAUGAUGAUUUCUAAUAGCCAGCUUUGUUGAGGACUUAUUUGCAGUGUGUCAGGCAUUGUGCUAAAUACUAAUGUGUAAGGUAGAUAUCCCACCUUCACAAAUGAAGAUAUCAAGGCUUAUGGACAUAAAGUAAUUUUCCUAAGUCACAUAGUCAACUAGUGGCAGAGCUGGAACUUAAAAGUAAGUCUGUCUGGCCCAGAGUAUUCUUAACUACUGUGUGGCUAACCUGCAGAUACAGUGUUGAUGAUGAGUUCUAAUUUCCCCCUCUGCUUUCUCUCAUUGAUCUCUUGUCUGAAUCUCUCUGAGAUUCUCUCUCACUGUGACUCUGUCCUAGUGUUGCGAGGCUCUGAGUGUUGGUUUAUUGACCCUGCCCACACCUUUGUAAAGAAUCCCUUCGUUAUAUCUUGUCCAUGUAGCCCAUUGAGUGUGUCAUCCGUUUUCUGCUGGAACUCUGACUACUAUCAAUCACUUUCUUUUUUUGUAGAUCUUGCUUAUAUUUCUUGCUUUGUAAUUUCUUUUAAAUGUAUUCCUAAUUCCUUUCAUGCUCGGCAUCCUGCACCUUAGUUUAGACCUUCAACAACUCAAUUUAAUAAUAUAUAUUGAACACCUAUACUGUACUAGGAUCUGUAACAUUUACCUUCCCCCAAGCUUUUGCAAGUCUCUUAACUGGUUUAGUGUUUCCUGUCUCUAUUCUACUGCCAGAUUUAUAUUCAUAAACAGAACUUUAGUUAGAUUCUUUCCUUCCUCAAACAUCUUCAGUAGCUCCCAACUGCCUAUAGAAAAAAAUAAAAAACUAUUUAGCCUGAUAUUCAGUCCCUCCAUUACCCUACCUUUUCAACCUAUUGACCUAGAAAGCCGUCUACUCCAGGUUUAUUAACCAUCCCUUAAAUAUACUUUGUGCCUUCUUCCUAUGAUGCUUUUGCUCAUGCUGUACCACCUCUUCAUGUAUAUACCAUUUGUCCUCCAAUGCUGGGCUCAAACCUCAACUCCUCUGUAAACUCUUCCUAGACCUUAACUAGUGGAAGUGAUCUCUCUUUCCCCAAAACAGUGGUGUUUAUUGUCUGUUCUUUUUCUUUUUAACAAUUAUGGCUUAUGAAAUAUGUUAUCUAAAUCUUUUAUGUUCAUUUGACAGAUAUACCAGCUCCACUGCAUACUAGCUCUGCGAACUUUAGGCACGGUCCUUCCCUCCCUCUUUUCUUCCUUCCUUCUGCUGCAUUUGUUGAGCAUCCUACAUGCUGGGUGCUGUACUAAGUGCUCAGCUGUACUGGUGACCAAACACUGACAUGAAUUCCAUCCACAUGGCACUUAAAGUCUAGUGAGCGAGACAGACAUUAGUCAAAUAAAUUCACAAAUGAUGUAAAAUUGCCACUGUGGUUAAGUGCUAUGAAGAGAGGUCCAUGGUGCAAUCAUAGCUUUUAACAGGGGGGGGCUUCGGUCUAAGAUGGAUAUAGUAAGAGUCGUCAAGGUUGGGGAUUGGCAGGCAGUAGGGAGAGUUCUACCAAAGGAAUAGCAGGUACAAAGCCCAGUAAGACUGUAUGUCCCUCGAUAGCAUGUAUCAUGUCUUCUAUUUCUUUGUUACUUGAAAGGCACCUUCUGUAUAAUAGGAACUCAUUAAACAUUUGCUGAUUUUUCUUGAA